rnacentral:misc_RNA from 1 species
UUAUAGGCUUUUUAGGUGAAAUCGUGGAAUAUAUACGUGUCCAUAUACACCGUGUAUAGGAUCAGUGAACGACGAGUGAACACGCGGAUCGAUUUGCAUGCCGCUGAAGGAGAGCACACGGCCUCGUAGCCACGACGCAACCGGUCACGUUCCGAUAGGCGACAAAUUGUAAAACAUUUCAGAGGACGACAGCAGCGGCGCGUACAUACGCGUCCGUUUAGUUAUGAUUAGCCUCUGCGAUAACAGCCUGAUUUCUCAUUUUUACAUAAUCCUGGCGAGAUGUUUGAUUUUCACGUGCAGAUCCGAUUUAUCGAGCGUUCGUACGAGAAACGAAUUUGAAGAGGUUUUCGUGGAAGCGUGUUAAAGAUAAAAUACAGCGAAGAAAAAUUGAGAUAAAGAACGAGGAAAACAUGAGUCCUUCGUAACACGCGCUGCAAAGAAAGAUCAACUAUUGAUACAGCUGCCGUAUAUGCUCGUUCACGCAAUUGUUGCUCAGCGAGUUCGUGCUUUGUGUUAGACAG